UGCUUUGAAACAGAUUCCCUAGCAUGCAACAAGUGGUUUGGGAUUUUAAAUUUAAUUUGUGUUUGUUUUGCAGGCCUAUGUUCUUCAUCUAGAAUCUAGUAGAUUGAAGUUAGUUCAGUUGGAGCAGGAGCUCGAGUGAGGUAAACAACAGGGUUUGUAUUUCGUUGGUGGAGUAGAAGGUUCUCAGUUGGGUUCUCUGGACCUGUAAAUUCAGGUUUGUCAAAAUAUUGCUGAAUAACUUCUGGUUUUGAAGUCCUCACCCACAAACAUUGCUAUUUCUGGAAAUUGCAUGUCUCUAAUUGCGGUGAUUUGGUAUCUGACUCCCGGAACCUGGACUGUAGUAUUGAUCAUAAGACUGUUUGUGGAAUUUUGGUACUACUAGCUUACCACCACCAAUCAUUGUAUGCUCCUGCUAUUUAAUGUUUUAAUUGUGUUCCCUUCAAAGCAUGAUUCAACAUAGUUACUAUGAAAUGUUGCUGGCGUCAUGUUUGGUUUUCUGGGCUGUGAAAUGAUGUUGAUUGUUGUUUCCACUCUUGUAAGCUGCUAUCAAUUGCGUAUUGUUUUCUAUGUGAAA